rnacentral:tRNA from 1 species
ACAGGUAUAGCGCAGUGGCAGAGCACGUGCUUUGUGUGCACGAGGUCCCGGGUUCAAUUCCCAGUGCCUCUG